UCUAACUACCUAUGCAUCCACAUUCCAUUCAACCUCAUAUUCAUUUUUACAACAAAAUUACAACCAUUAUAAACAUCCAUUCCAUACAUAACCACACAUCAUUUCAAAUUCAACAUAAACUUUACAUUACAAAAAUAGUCAUGUCCAAAUCCAAUCAAAAUUCCAUGGGCAAUCCAAAACCAUUUACAUUCCAAAAUUACAACAAAAAUUACAUUCACAAGGAUAAUAUUCAACUUCACAACCUCUUGAAUUGCAUAUGAAGGUUGCUCCUUAACUUAAACAGAAAAAGGAAUGUAAUUUGGUCCAUGGACAAUGCUCAUUUCAACAACCUGUUGCAGCCAUGAGAUUAUGAAUUUCCAAUUGACCUUCAAGCAAAAAAAAAAAUCACUCUAUAUCAGUAAUAAACUAAAACAGAAACAUAAUUUUCUCUCUUGUUCCAUAAUAAUAAACUUCUUUCAACAAUUCAAAACUCAAUUUCUAACUUCUAAUUCCAUCACCUAACAAACCUAACCGAUUUUCGUAACCGUUUCUAACUUCCAUAACAUAAUGGACCUGGAUCAACUUCAUUCCUCAAAACCGAAACUUCAAUACUUCAAGAACUUCAACAACCUUCCAACAAAACCUAAUAAUCACCCUCUAAGAAAAUUUGAAAAAAAUGAUAAUAUAGCAAACUCUAACUUCAACCCCUUCAAUCACAAAACGGAACCCUUUUCUAACCUUCUUCACAUUCCAACAACCUGAAAACAGAUUAAAACGAACCCCUCACUUCCUAACUGAAUUCCCCUUUCCAUGACAAUCCAAAAGCGCUCCCCUAUCUUCAACUCCUAACUUCACCUUCAACCAUCUUCCAAAUCCUGCAACUUCUUCAAACCCUCUCCUCAAUCAUACACAACCCCUAACCGCUCCAACCUCCAUAACAGAAUUUCCAUUACCUCCUCACCUUCAACUUCACUCUGCAAUCCCCUAACCUCAUUGCUUCUAAAACCACACAACUCCAUAACUAAAUUCCAAUCACCCACAACAAUUCCAACCGAAUACAAAAUUGCGACAAAAAUUUCUCAGAAAGAAAAUUGAUACGGAAGGAAGAAGAAGCACAAUACAGAGAAAAAGUGAGAGCAUCGAAGCAAGGGCAUACCAAGGGAGUUUCGAAGUAGAUUAUCUCAACAAAUACAUGGCACGAAUCGAAGCCACUCUUCGUCAUCAACAACAUGUUCAUCUUCAUCAUGAAUACGAAGCUUACACGCGAACGGAACCUUUGUCAUUCAUCUUCAGUACACUGUGAUUGAAGAACGAUGAACAUCAACGACACAUCGAAUCCGGUAGGUCUCUUCUCCUCUCGAUAUUCUGAUUUCGUGAGCUUCGAGAGAGUAUUAUCGUUACGCCGUUGUAUUUUGUUUCAUUUGAAAUCCGGUCUUGGGAAAAACAUUGAAGGCGAUGGUGAGAUUUCAUGGCGGCGUAGGUGAAUUGGGAGAGAAUUCCAGCGUCACGAAUUGGGGCUAGGUCAUGGAAGAGGUGCUUUCAUGUGGGAUCCGGUUUGGGUCGGUCAUGUGGGUAUUGAAGCUGGUUUUGGGAAUUCUUUGGGGGAGACAUGGGCUUUUGGCCCCAAUGGUUUUAUUAAUUUUUAUCGAAAAUUUUACCCUAUACCCCUACAAUUGUAUCCAUACCCCUACAUUUAAAUUUUUUUACCAAAAUACCCUCAUAUAAAUAGGGUAUAUUUUCCUUUUCAAA
rnacentral:lncRNA from 1 species